AGUCAGUCGCCACGUUUAGAGUGAGAGACCAUGUUUCGCACCUACACAAAACAACAAUAAUUAGACGUAGCAUGAUUUCAUAACUCUUGGUAAAGAAAUUGUAACAAGUCACAGAACAACUUAACGUCUCGAUGGCCACAAAACUGAUGUCGCCACUGUUCUUAUUGGAUUCACAGAUGAUAAGCCCAAGGACAUUUAACUGCACUCUUUCUGUACAUACCUGCCCCAAAUAAAAACGAACAAAGAAGGGAACAUGGAAGGAAUACCAUCACUGCAAAGCUGGAAUUUCAUCACUCUCUGACAACGCAAAGAUACCGAGAAAGAAACAAAUUGGAAACCUUAACAAGAAUAAACUAAACAACCUUGGUAUGCAGAGGAUAGGAUGUCUGAAAGAUGACUCCUACCUUCAUUACUGACCAACGACAGAUUUCCUUGGCCGCGUACUGGAGAAAGAAACAAAAAUUGAUAGUUAGAUAAGCCUGAAAGAUGAAAAGCUACAGGAACAGGCAGGCUACAAGCUCACAUGUGUUAUGUAGGUUCUGAAACUGACCAAAAGUAAUCAAGAUGUUGGGAGAAAAGAACACAAAACAGAAGGCAAUAAAAAGAUAGUAAGAAAAUUUGCAACUGUUUUCAAUUAGAAGUUACUACUGACUGCAACACACAUUUUGUAAUUCUGCAAUAUAUGCUGUUUACUAUGAUGAUAAAAUGUUUUUGAGACAGAUAGCAGCUCAAAACAAUAAAAUAAUAUCAGUAA